rnacentral:piRNA from 1 species
UGGGAAAUUGCUCUCUCUGCUGCAGAUGG